rnacentral:rRNA from 1 species
AGAGUUUGAUCCUGGCUCAGGAUGAACGCUAGCGGCAGGCCUAAUACAUGCAAGUCGAGGGGCAGCAUCAUCGCUUGCGAUGGAUGGCGACCGGCGCACGGGUGCGUAACGCGUAUGCAACCUACCCUUUACAGGGGGAUAGCCCGGAGAAAUUCGGAUUAAUACCCCAUGGUACCAUAAAGUAGCAUUGCUUAAUGGUUAAAGAUUUAUUGGUAAAGGAUGGGCAUGCGUCUGAUUAGUUAGUUGGCGAGGUAACGGCUCACCAAGACGACGAUCAGUAGGGGUUCUGAGAGGAUGAUCCCCCACACUGGCACUGAGAUACGGGCCAGACUCCUACGGGAGGCAGCAGCAGGGAAUAUUGGUCAAUGGACGAGAGUCUGAACCAGCCAUGCCGCGUGCAGGAAGACGGCCUUCUGGGUUGUAAACUGCUUUUAUCAGGGAACAAAGAGUCCAUGCGUGGAAAGUUGCGUGUACCUGAAGAAUAAGCACCGGCUAACUCCGUGCCAGCAGCCGCGGUAAUACGGAGGGUGCAAGCGUUGUCCGGAUUUAUUGGGUUUAAAGGGUGCGUAGGCGGACAAUUAAGUCAGUGGUGAAAUACUUCGGCUCAACCGGAGAGGUGCCAUUGAUACUGGUUGUCUAGAGUACAGACGAGGUAGGCGGAAUUUAUGGUGUAGCGGUGAAAUGCAUAGAUACCAUAAAGAACACCAAUAGCGAAGGCAGCUUACUAGACUGUAACUGACGCUGAGGCACGAAAGCGUGGGUAGCGAACAGGAUUAGAUACCCUGGUAGUCCA